rnacentral:rRNA from 1 species
ACGGGUGAGUAACACGUAGGCAACCUGCCCUCAAGCUUGGGACAACUACCGGAAACGGUAGCUAAUACCGAAUACUUGUUUUCUUCGCCUGAAGGAAACUGGAAAGACGGAGCAAUCUGUCACUUGAGGAUGGGCCUGCGGCGCAUUAGCUAGUUGGUGAGGUAACGGCUCACCAAGGCGACGAUGCGUAGCCGACCUGAGAGGGUGAUCGGCCACACUGGGACUGAGACACGGCCCAGACUCCUACGGGAGGCAGCAGUAGGGAAUCUUCCGCAAUGGGCGAAAGCCUGACGGAGCAAUGCCGCGUGAGUGAUGAAGGUUUUCGGAUCGUAAAGCUCUGUUGCCAGGGAAGAACGCUUAGGAGAGUAACUGCUCCUGAGGUGACGGUACCUGAGAAGAAAGCCCCGGCUAACUACGUGCCAGCAGCCGCGGUAAUACGUAGGGGGCAAGCGUUGUCCGGAAUUAUUGGGCGUAAAGCGCGCGCAGGCGGUCAUUUAAGUCUGGUGUUUAAUCCCGGGGCUCAACCCCGGAUCGCACUGGAAACUGGGUGACUUGAGUGCAGAAGAGGA